UAUNGGUCAAUGGACGAGAGUCUGUACCAGCNAAGUAGCGUGAAGGAUGACUGCCCUAUGGGUUGUAAACUUCUUUUAUAUGGGACUAAAGUAUUCCACGUGUGGGAUUUUGUAUGUACCAUAUGACUACGGAUCGGCUAACUCCGUGCCAGCAGCCGCGGUAAUACGGAGGAUCCGAGCGUUAUCCGGAUUUAUUGGGUUUAAAGGGAGCGUAGGUGGAUUGUUAAGUCAGUUGUGAAAGUUUGCGGCUCAACCGUAAAAUUGCAGUUGAAACUGGCAGUCUUGAGUACAGUAGAGGUGGGCGGAAUUCGUGGUGUAGCGGUGAAAUGCUUAGAUAUCACGAAGAACUCCGAUUGCGAAGGCAGCUCACAAGACUACAACUGACACUGAUGCUCGAAAGUGUGAGUAUCAAACAG
rnacentral:rRNA from 1 species